UACGUAGGGUGCGAGCGUUAAUCGGAAUUACUGGGCGUAAAGCGUGCGCAGGCGGUUCGUUGUGUCGGUGGUGAAAUCCCCGGGCUUAACCUGGGAAUGGCCAUGGAAACUGGCGACCUGGAGUGCGGCAGAGGGGGGUGGAAUUCCGCGUGUAGCAGUGAAAUGCGUAGAGAUGCGGAGGAACACCGAUGGCGAAGGCAGCCCCCUGGGCUAGCACUGACGCUCAGGCACGAAAGCGUGGGGAGCAAACAGG
rnacentral:rRNA from 1 species